UACGUAGGGUGCGAGCGUUGUCCGGAAUUAUUGGGCGUAAAGAGCUUGUAGGCGGUCUGUCGCGUCUGCUGUGAAAAUCCGGGGCUCAACCCCGGACUUGCAGUGGGUACGGGCAGACUAGAGUGUGGUAGGGGAGACUGGAAUUCCUGGUGUAGCGGUGAAAUGCGCAGAUAUCAGGAGGAACACCCAUUGCGAAGGCAGCUCGCUGGGACGUUACUGACGCUGAGACGCGAAAGCGUGGGGAGCAAACAGG
rnacentral:rRNA from 1 species